UGCUUUGCACAGUGGCAGAAUUGUAGCCAAUGAGGCCCAGCUGAGGUGUGAUUAUUGCUAGUUGGAAACUAUUCCCAAGCACAUUUAACAUAACUAAGGAAGAAAAACUCAGUACUGA
rnacentral:snRNA from 1 species